GGGACUGCCAGAUAGCCAGCAUGUGUUAGUAUAAACGAUUUUAUACUGUAAGACUGCGAACGGCUCAUUAUAUCAGUUAUAGUUUAUUUGAUACUUUUUCACUAUUGGAUAACCGUAGUAAUUCUAGAGCUAAUACAUGCUUCCAUCCCCAACUCACGACGGGGUGUAUUUAUUAGAUUUCAAUCAACAUUUUUUGCUGACUCAUGAUAACUUAGCGGAUCGCAGAGGCCUCGUGCCGGCGACAAAUCAUUCAAGUUUCUGCCCUAUCAGCUUUCGAUGGUAGUGUAUUGGACUACCAUGGCAUUCACGGGUAACGGAGGAUUAGGGUUCGAUUCCGGAGAGGGAGCCUGAGAAAUGGCUACCACAUCCAAGGAAGGCAGCAGGCGCGUAAAUUACCCAAUCCCAAUUCGGGGAGGUAGUGACAAUAAAUAUCGAUGCGGGGCCCUUCGGGUCUUGCAAUCGGAAUGAGAACAAUUUAAAUCCCUUAACGAGGAUCAAUUGGAGGGCAAGUCUGGUGCCAGCAGCCGCGGUAAUUCCAGCUCCAAUAGCGUAUAUUAAUGUUGUUGCAGUUAAAAAGCUCGUAGUUGGAUUUCUGCGCCGCGCAACUCGGUCCGCUGCACUGCAGUGUGAUGUGUGGUUGGAGCGUCGCAUCCUUGUGGGGACUGUUUGUGUCAUUAAUUUGAUGGAUUCCGGAACCGCAUCGUUUACUGUGAAAAAAUUAGAGUGUUCAAAGCAGGCUUAUGCCGUGAAUACAUUAGCAUGGAAUAAUAAGAUAGGACUUUGGUUCUAUUUUGUUGGUUGGAGGCCAAGGUAAUGAUUAAUAGGGAUAGUUGGGGGUAUUCAUAUUUAAUUGUCAGAGGUGAAAUUCUUGGAUUUAUGAAAGAUGAACUUAUGCGAAAGCAUUUACCAAGGAUGUUUUCAUUAAUCAAGAACGAAAGUUAGGGGAUCGAAGAGGAUUAGAUACCCUCGUAGUCUUAACCAUAAACUAUGCCGACUCAGGAUCGGAAGGUGUACAUUAAAAGACCCUUUCGGCACUGUAUGAGAAAUCAAAGUCUAUGGGUUCCGGGGGGAGUAUGGUCGCAAGGCUGAAACUUAAAGGAAUGACGGAAGCACCCCGAGCGGUCC
rnacentral:rRNA from 1 species